rnacentral:rRNA from 1 species
GUGGCUAUAGUGGAGGUGUUACACCUGUUCCCAUUCCGAACACAGAAGUUAAGCCCUCUUACGCCGAUGAUACUGCCUCUGGAAGGGGUGGGAAAGUAGGUCGCCGCCAGGC